rnacentral:rRNA from 1 species
CGUAGGGUGCGAGCGUUAAUCGGAAUUACUGGGCGUAAAGCGUGCGCAGGCGGUUAUAUAAGACAGAUGUGAAAUCCCCGGGCUCAACCUGGGAACUGCAUUUGUGACUGUAUAGCUAGAGUACGGCAGAGGGGGAUGGAAUUCCGCGUGUAGCAGUGAAAUGCGUAGAUAUGCGGAGGAACACCGAUGGCGAAGGCAAUCCCCUGGGCCUGUACCGACGCUCAUGCACGAAAGCGUGGGGAGCAAACAGGAUUAGAUACCCUGGUAGUCCACGCCCUAAACGAUGUCAACUGGUUGUUGGGUCUUCACUGACUCAGUAACGAAGCUAACGCGUGAAGUUGACCGCCUGGGGAGUACGGCCGCAAGGUUG